AAUCAUUUCAACUCCAAAUACAUAAACUUUGAUUCGAAUUAGCGAUCUCACAACAUUGAUUUGUAUUCAUUAGUUAUUCUCUAAUAAUAUGAUAUGAUAUUAUGUCAGUUUCAUUAGGUUGUUUUGAAAUGUUAUAUAUAUUUACCAAUUUCUGCAUUGGGAUGAAGUCCAUACAGAACAGGACUUUCAGCAGUGCCUUCUAGCUCCAUCUCGUCGUAAAUUAUUGAAGCUAUCGAUGGUGUCGAAAAAUAUUUCAAACAAAAGUCCAACAAUUUCGAGGGGUAUAUAAUUUGAUGUAAUUUUUUCACGAAUGGAUAACUGAAGGAUUUCUGAAUGAUAAUAUUACAUUUUUAUAUGGAAUUAUAUAUUUUUUAUUUUAUUAUUUCACAUUAAUCGGUGUAGUCCUGAAAAGGCAAAGGAAAUAAUAGAAUAAAAUUCAUACCCUGAAAUGGCUAUUUUGGAGAUAUUUUGAUUUUGAUAUGUAUUGCAAAGCGAUAUAACAUCAACAAUUUUGAAAAUAUUUGUGAACCACCGUAUAUUAAUACUUUAUGAAAUUGUACAAGUGUA